rnacentral:rRNA from 1 species
CCCUUAGAUGUCCUGGGCCGCACGCGCGCUACACUGAGUGUCUGAGAUACGAGUCUGCCUGGUCCGGCAAGGUCUAGGUAAUCGCUAAAAGACACAUCAUGCUUGGGAUAGAUUAUUGCAAAUAUUAAUCUUGAACGAGGAAUUCCUAGUAAGCGCAAGUCAACAGCCUGCGUUGAUUACGUCCCUGCCCUUUGUACACACCGCCCGUCGCUACUACUGAUUGGAUGUUUAAGCGAGGUUCUCGAACUGCUAGCGACUUAGCUUCGGUGAGGUCGCAGUGUGGGAAGUGAACCUAGCUUUGGUGUCUAGAGGAAGUAAAAGUCGUAACA